rnacentral:rRNA from 1 species
GUGGGGAAUAUUGGACAAUGGGCGAAAGCCUGAUCCAGCCAUGCCGCGUGUGUGAAGAAGGUCUUCGGAUUGUAAAGCACUUUAAGUUGGGAGGAAGGGCAGUAAGUUAAUACCUUGCUGUUUUGACGUUACCGACAGAAUAAGCACCGGCUAACUUCGUGCCAGCAGCCGCGGUAAUACGAAGGGUGCAAGCGUUAAUCGGAAUUACUGGGCGUAAAGCGCGCGUAGGUGGUUUUGUAAGUUGGAGGUGAAAUCCCCGGGCUCAACCUGGGAACUGCCUCCAAAGCUGCAUGACUAGAGUACGGUAGAGGGUAGUGGAAUUUCCUGUGUAGCGGUGAAAUGAGUAGAUAUAGGAAGGAACACCAGUGGCGAAGGCGGCUACCUGGACUGAUACUGACACUGAGGUGCGAAAGCGUGGGGAGCAAACAGGAUUAGAAACCCCGGUAGUCC